ensembl:snRNA U6 U6 spliceosomal RNA
GUGCUCGCUUUGGCAGCACAUAUACUAAAAUUGGAAUGAUACAGAAAAGACUAGCAUGGCUCCUAAGCAAGGAUGACAUGCAAAUUCAUGAAGUGUUCCAUAUUUAA